UGGGGAAUAUUGCACAAUGGGGGAAACCCUGAUGCAGCAACGCCGCGUGGAGGAUGACGCAUUUCGGUGUGUAAACUCCUUUUAUCGGUCAAGAAAAUGACGGUAGCCGAUGAAUAAGCACCGGCUAACUCCGUGCCAGCAGCCGCGGUAAUACGGAGGGUGCAAGCGUUACUCGGAAUCACUGGGCGUAAAGGAUGCGUAGGCGGAUUAAUAAGUUGGGAGUGAAAUCCUAUGGCUCAACCAUAGAACUGCUUUCAAAACUGUUAGUCUAGAAUGUGGGAGAGGUAGAUGGAAUUAGUGGUGUAGGGGUAAAAUCCGUAGAGAUCACUAGGAAUACCGAUUGCGAAGGCGAUCUACUGGAACACAAUUGACGCUGAGGCAUGAAAGCGUGGGGAGCAAACA
rnacentral:rRNA from 1 species